rnacentral:rRNA from 1 species
AUUGAACGCUGGCGGCAGGAUUAAAACAUGCAAGUCGAACGAGUGGCGGACGGGUGAGUAAUGCUUGGGAAUCUAGCUUAUGGAGGGGGAUAACUACGGGAAACUGUAGCUAAUACCGCGUACCAUAGGAUGAGCCCAAGUGGGAUUAGGUGGUUGGUGGGGUAAUGGCCUACCAAGACGACGAUCUCUAGCUGGUCUGAGAGGAUGACCAGCCACCCCGGGACUGAGACACUGCCCUGCCUCCUACGCGAGGCAGCAUUGGGGAAUAUUGCGCAAUGGGGGCAACCUGACGCAGCCAUGCCGCGUGAAUGAAGAAGGCCUUCUGGUUGUAAAGUUCUUUCGGUGACGAGGCGUUAAUCACAGAAGAAGCACCGGCUAACUCCGUGCCAGCAGCCGCGGUAAUUC